rnacentral:rRNA from 1 species
AGUGAACGCUGGCGGUAGGCCUAACACGUGCAAGUCGAACGGCAGCACAGUAAGAGCUUGCUCUUACGGGUGGCGAGUGGCGGACGGGUGAGGAGUACAUCGGAAUCUACUUUUUCGUGGGGGAUAACGUAGGGAAACUUACGCUAAUACCGCAUACGACCUACGGGUGAAAGCAGGGGAUCUUCGGACCUUGCGCGAUUGAAUGAGCCGAUGUCGGAUUAGCUAGUUGGCGGGGUAAAGGCCCACCAAGGCGACGAUCCGUAGCUGGUCUGAGAGGAUGAUCAGCCACACUGGAACUGAGACACGGUCCAGACUCCUACGGGAGGCAGCAGUGGGGAAUAUUGGACAAUGGGCGCAAGCCUGAUCCAGCCAUACCGCGUGGGUGAAGAAGGCCUUCGGGUUGUAAAGCCCUUUUGUUGGGAAAGAAAAGCAGCAGGUUAAUACCCCGCUGUUCUGACGGUACCCAAAGAAUAAGCACCGGCUAACUUCGUG